AACGCUAGCUACAGGCUUAACACAUGCAAGUCGAGGGGAAACGACAUCGAAAGCUUGCUUUUGGUGGGCGUCGACCGGCGCACGGGUGAGUAACGCGUAUCCAACCUGCCCACCACUUGGGGAUAACCUUGCGAAAGUAAGACUAAUACCCAAUGAUAUCCCACGAAGGCAUCCGAAUGGGAUUAAAGAUUUAUCGGUGAUGGAUGGGGAUGCGUCUGAUUAGCUUGUUGGCGGGGUAACGGCCCACCAAGGCAACGAUCAGUAGGGGUUCUGAGAGGAAGGUCCCCCACAUUGGAACUGAGACACGGUCCAAACUCCUACGGGAGGCAGCAGUGAGGAAUAUUGGUCAAUGGGCGAGAGCCUGAACCAGCCAAGUAGCGUGCAGGAUGACGGCCCUAUGGGUUGUAAACUGCUUUUAUAAGGGAAUAAAGUGGGUCUCGUGAGACUUUUUGCAUGUACCUUAUGAAUAAGGACCGGCUAAUUCCGUGCCAGCAGCCGCGGUAAUACGGAAGGUCCGGGCGUUAUCCGGAUUUAUUGGGUUUAAAGGGAGCGUAGGCCGGCUAUUAAGCGUGUUGUGAAAUGCCGCGGCUCAACCGUGGCACUGCAGCGCGAACUGGAGGCCUUGAGUGCGCGGGAGGUAGGCGGAAUUCGUGGUGUAGCGGUGAAAUGCUUAGAUAUCACGAAGAACUCCGAUUG
rnacentral:rRNA from 2 species